CUUUACUGUAGCCUGGUAUUGGGUUCGGGCUUUGACUGCGCAGGAUAGGUGGGAGACUGAGAAGUGUGCCUUGUGGGGCACAUAGAGUCAACGGUGAGAUACCACUCUGUCAGAGCUAGAAUUCUGACCUUCACCCGUGAUCCGGGGAAGGAACUGUAUCAGGUGGGCAGUUUGACUGGGGCGGUCGCCUCCUAAAAGGUAACGGAGGCGCGCAAAGGUGUUCUCAGGCUGGUUGGAAAUCAGCCGUAGAGUGUAAAGGCAGAAGAACGCUUGACUGUGAGAGUGACAACUCAAGCAGGGUGGAAACACGGCCUUAGCGAUCCGACGGUAUGCGCGUGGAAGUGCCGUCGCUCAACGGAUAAAAGUUA
rnacentral:rRNA from 1 species